AGGAAAACACACAGCAACAGGGGGGCUAAAACGGCUACCUUCCCCGCUCCUCUUCCUCUCCGGCAGUGAUCUGUAAACAAGAAAAAGAGAACACCCACAACAGUUGAUUUUAUUCCAUUUUAUGUCUAGAUCUGUGCUGAUUUUCCCCUUUUUUAUAUCUAUUCUUUUCUGUCUUCUUUGUUCUUCGUGCGUCUGUUCUUUCCUUCUUCAACAGGUGGCAGGUCUGGCGGUGGUGAAGAGCUGCUGGUUGCGUCGCGGUGGGCGCUGUCGGGUCGAUCUGUGACCGACGGGUCGGUUCGGUGACCCUGUGACCGCUGCUGGGUCGGUACUGGUGUGCUGCAGCUGGCGGUGAGCACGGCGUUGAGAGGCAGAUCGGAGGAAGAGAUGCUGGACGGUGGUCUGUCGGUGUCCGGAGGGAAGGUCUUGGUCGGCUGAAGGAGGAAGAGGAUGAGCAGCGGCUGG
rnacentral:lncRNA from 1 species